rnacentral:rRNA from 1 species
ACGAACGCUGGCGGCGUGCCUAAUACAUGCAAGUAGAACGCUGAAGGAGGAGCUUGCUCUUCUGGAUGAGUUGCGAACGGGUGAGUAACGCGUAGGUAACCUGCCUGGUAGCGGGGGAUAACUAUUGGAAACGAUAGCUAAUACCGCAUAACAGUAGAUGUUGCAUGACAUUUACUUAAAAGGUGCAAUUGCAUCACUACCAGAUGGACCUGCGUUGUAUUAGCUAGUUGGUGGGGUAACGGCUCACCAAGGCGACGAUACAUAGCCGACCUGAGAGGGUGGGCGGCCACACUGGGACUGAGACACGGCCCAGACUCCUACGGGAGGCGGCAGUAGGGAAUCUUCGGCAAUGGACGGAAGUCUGACCGAGCAACGCCGCGUGAGUGAAGAAGGUUUUCGGAUCGUAAAGCUCUGUUGUAAGAGAAGAACGAGUGUGAGAGUGGAAAGUUCACACUGUGACGGUAUCUUACCAGAAAGGGACGGCUAACUACGUG